AAAGUGUGUAAGAACUGAUAUAAUUCUCAAUGACUCAAUCCUUCAGUUAAUCUACUUCUCUGCUACAAGAAGUAGAGGCAGGGUUUCCAUUUCCCUUCCAUGGGAACCACAAACCAGCCUGUCAUUGGCUGCAGCAGACAUUACAUUCACUUUACAUGAGAUAGGACUGCAGACCUCUCUCACACUCCCUCUCUCACAUAUAAACACACUCUCUCUCUCUGUAUUGGUCUCACUCCCCUUCUACCACUUUCUUUCUAGCUGAUGCUCACACAACACAGACCAAGCCAUAUAUAAUAUUAGCAGCACACAACAGCAGCUAGCAUUGAAUACAACUCGACAGCAGGAUACACUUCUAAUCUCAAGAAAACUUUCAAGGAUUUACCUGCAUCAAUUUACUUCGUGAGUGAAAAAAUCAAGAUGGCUACUGUUACUUCUCAGUGAAGACUUAUUUGGAGUUGAAACAAAUUAAUCAGUUUUCUCAGCUAACUUAUGAUUGAAAAUGAUGUUAAAAUUUUGUGUAGUAUUGUUCAUUCUUGGAGAAUCAUUGUCUGUAGAUGUUAUCUUCCACGUGCCAGAGGGACACAGUCCAGGUACAUUUAUAGGGAAUAUUGCUGAUGAAACUCAUUUUUUGGACAGCAUGCCUCCUCAAGAACAUGGCUCUGUUACAUUCAGCCAGUUACAUGAAAGUAUUAGCGAAGAUUUUGAACUGUUUAACAUAACCAACUCAGGUAAAAUGUACACAACACAGAUAUUAGAUGCUGAAUCCCUCUGUAAAUAUAAUUCAGAAUGUUUUAAAAUGGUAGAGAUUGCAGUCAGGCAUGAGGAAUCUUUUGUCCGAAUUUUGGAAAUUAAAAUAAUCAUUGAUGAUAUUAAUGACAAUGCCCCUGAAUUCUCCAGCAAACAAAUCAAACUUCAAUUUUCUGAAACUGAUAGAGAAGGUUUUAUGAAAUCAAUACCAAAUGCUUUAGACAAAGAUGUUAGUACACUUUACAACCAGAUUAAUUACCAGCUUUACAAGAACCUAGAUGAACCCUUUUCUUUAUCAGUUAAUAAAAAGGUUGAUGGAACAGCUAAAAUUGGUAUCAUGUUAGAAGAAGCACUUGACAGAGAAUUAAAAGACAGCUAUACUCUGCAGGUUAUUGCCAGAGAUGGUGGCUCACCACCAAAGGAAGGCAUCUUAGAUAUUCAGAUUUCAGUUACAGAUGAAAACGACAAUUCUCCAUCCUUUUCUCAGGAUAUAUAUAAUGUAUCAAUUAAUAAUGGUUUUCGGAAAGAUAUUCCAGUUUUUGUUUUGCAUGCAACAGACUUAGACUCAGGGAAAAAUGGUGAAAUUUUAUACCAAUUUGGCUCAAAAACAUCUCCUCUGGCAAAAUCUCAUUUUACAAUUAAUGAAAAAACCGGAGAGAUUUUCCAGUCUCGGACAAACUAUGGUGAAAGGAAACAAAUGUAUAAGCUUUAUAUUGAAGCUAUUGAUAAUGGUAAUCCUCCCUUAAGUUCAACUGCUAUUGUUUUGAUAAACAUAUUAAAUGAAGAAAAUAAUGCUCCAAGAAUCGAUAUGAAGUUUGUUUCAAAGUUUGAAGGCAACCGAGUAACAAUAUCGGAAGGAGUAAAAGUUGGGAGUUUCAUUGCUUAUGUGAAAGUUAUAGACAAUGAUGUUGGUUUGAACGGAGAGGUUUCCUGUCAGCUCGAACACGACAAACUGGAACUCAGAAGUCUGGGAACAAACAAAUACAAAGUAGUCAUCAAAAAUACGGUAAACAGAGAAAGUCAAAGUCAACUUAAUUUUGCAGUUGAAUGCGAAGACAAAGGGAUGCCACCGUUACUAACCAAAAGAAUGUUUACAGUCCAAGUAAAAGAUGUCAAUGACAUACAACCACAUUUUACUCGUGAUGUUUUCAAAUUUUUAACUUAUGAAAAUGAGAAACCAAAUUUUCCAAUUGGUUUGAUAAAUGCAACUGAUCAAGACCAAGGAUCUGGUGGUCGACUUUCUUUCUCUUUGUUGAAUGACCACAACCAUGCUUUACCUUUUAAGAUAUCCAACUUUGGAUUUAUUGUAACAACUCAAAUGUUGGAUCGGGAACAACAAGACAUCUAUAAAUUUAAGGUUUUAGUCAAAGACAAUGGUAUCCCGCCAUUAAGUAACACUGCCACUGUAAUUGUUGAAGUUAUGGAUAAAAAUGACAAUGCUCCAUAUUUUACAUUUCCCAGUGUUAGCCCUUUCACUUUAGAUGUUCACUACCAUCCACAGAGUAAUAGUGACAUUACAACCUUGAGAGCUUCCGACAGAGACAGUCACGUGAAUGCUUUCCUCAAAUAUGAAAUACUUUCUGGAAAUGGAAAACAAUUAUUUACAGUAAAUCCUUACACAGGAACUUUGUCUUAUUAUCGAACAGUUUACCAAAAUGAUGCAGGAUUAUAUGAUCUUCAGUUUGUUGUCAAAGACAGUGGCACACCAGUUUUAUCAGCAACAACUAUACUGUCUUUGACACUGACUGUCAGUAACAAUACGUCUAAGAUGUUUACACCUAUAGGCAUAGAGGCUGAUAAAAAGAUACAUUUUAAUUUAGUUGCUGUCAUAGUUAUUGCAGCUGUCAUUGUAUCUGUUGCUAUUGUGGUUUCCAUUGCAAUAUGUAUCAUUCAGAAAAACAACCAAAGAAAAUUUCUCUAUACUAACGAUGUAGGUGGGAAUAAUAAGUUUGCUGAAGAGAGGAGACCAUCAGAAUAUGUUUCUGAGACUGUCUCUCCUCAAUAUGAUAUUUCUAUUACAAUGGUAUCUGACAACAGCAUGAAAAGAAAUACACAGACAGCUACACUUAAAAAAGAAUCACUUCCCAGACAUAAACCUGGACAAAAUUGGAAAAAUUCCCCAACAGGAAUAUUACACCAAAAUAUUAUCCAAGGGACACAUCAGCAAAAAUGGAAUUGCUGCCGCCAAAAUAAUCACACAGGAAGGUGGAUUCUGUGAGGGCUGGUGAGCCAACAUCAUAGUGAAUAUUGCAGUAACAAGAGCAGAGUUCGGGAGAUGAUCUGAUAAAGCAGUGUCUGAAGUCUUUAGGAAGCAACAGUGACAUCUGGUGUGAAUAAAGAAGAAGAACAUAUGUUGAUGGUUCAUGACCACUUUAAUGAAAUACCAACACUCUCAAAUGCUGAAAGUGGGACUGGCUGGAAUGAAGAAAAUA
rnacentral:misc_RNA from 1 species